UCUUCCGUAGUAUAGUGGUCAGUAUACAAGCUUGUCACCAUAACUUGGCACUCGCUUGGGACCCGGGUUCAAUUCCCGGCGGGAGAG